UGCAGUCGAACGAGAACCAGCCCCACACCCUUGCCCUUUCCCGAAAGGGAGAGGGUGGGGUGUGGGGCUGGGAACAACCCAGGGAAACUUGGCUAAUACCGGAUACGUCCGAAAGGAAAAGAUUUAUCGCUGAAGGAUCGGCCCGCGUCUGAUUAGCUAGUUGGUGAGGUAACGGCUCACCAAGGCGACGAUCAGUAGCUGGUCUGAGAGGAUGAUCAGCCUCACUGGGACUGAGACACGGCCCAGACUCCUACGGGAGGCAGCAGUGGGGAAUAUUGGACAAUGGGCGCAAGCCUGAUCCACCAUGCCGCGUGGAUGAUGAAGGCCCUAGGGUUGAAAGUCCUUUCGCGGGAAGAUAUGACGUACCCGUUAAAAGCCCCGGUAACUUCGUGCCACGCGGUAAUACAACGGGGUAGCGUUGCUCGAAUCACUGGCGUAAGCGCACGUACGGUUU
rnacentral:rRNA from 1 species